rnacentral:rRNA from 1 species
AGAACCCCGGCGAGGGGAGUGAAAAAGAACCUGAAACCGUGUACGUACAAGCAGUGGGAGCACAGAGCAAUCUGUGUGACUGCGUACCUUUUGUAUAAUGGGUCAGCGACUUAUAUUCUGUAGCAAGGUUAACCGAAUAGGGGAGCCGAAGGGAAACCGAGUCUUAACUGGGCGUUAAGUUGCAGGGUAUAGACCCGAAACCCGGUGAUCUAGCCAUGGGCAGGUUGAAGGUUGGGUAACACUAACUGGAGGACCGAACCGACUAAUGUUGAAAAAUUAGCGGAUGACUUGUGGCUGGGGGUGAAAGGCCAAUCAAACCGGGAGAUAGCUGGUUCUCCCCGAAAGCUAUUUAGGUAGCGCCUCGUGAAUUCAUCUCCGGGGGUAGAGCACUGUUUCGGCAAGGGGGUCAUCCCGACUUACCAACCCGAUGCAAACUGCGAAUACCGGAGAAUGUUAUCACGGGAGACACACGGCGGGUGCUAACGUCCGUCGUGAAGAGGGAAACAACCCAGACCGCCAGCUAAGGUCCCAAAGUCAUGGUUAAGUGGGAAACGAUGUGGGAAGGCCCAGACAGCCAGGAUGUUGGCUUAGAAGCAGCCAUCAUUUAAAGAAAGCGUAAUAGCUCACUGGUCGAGUCGGCCUGCGCGGAAGAUGUAACGGGGCUAAACCAUGCACCGAAGCUGCGGCAGCGACGCU